AAAUAAAUUACUAUACUCAGUCACCAGACUGAGUCCCAGCGACGUCGUUCCGUCAAUGUUAAUCUUUGUCCAAACCACGCUAGCAAAACAAUCGACUGAAAACCAAUAGCUCGUUGCAGAAACUGGUAACCUCUCAAAAUUAGAGACCGCUCAAUCCAUUGGGUGCGAAUACGAUGCAGACUGAAGCCAGAGUAGGAGUGGUGGUGGAUGGAGGAGGAAGCGCCGGCGGUGGAGGAUGUGGCCGCGGAGCAGUGGUUGUGGACGGCGGAGCAUCUCGUAAAUUGAUCACGCAGCAGCGCCAGCAGUCUCAGAUCGGGACUGUUCCUCAGCUUCUCGCCGGUGGAGUUGCCGGUGCCGUCAGCAAGACUUGCACUGCGCCCCUUGCUCGCCUUACUAUUCUCUUUCAGGUGCAAGGAAUGCACGCGGAUGCUAGUAGCUUAAAAAAAGCGAGUAUAUGGCAAGAGGCUUCACGUAUUGUACGUGAAGAAGGGUAUCGGGCACUUUGGAAGGGGAAUUUGGUCACAAUUGCUCACCGCCUUCCAUAUUCCUCUAUUAGCUUUUAUGCAUUUGAACGCUACAAGAAUGUGUUGCAGUUGAUUUUGGGAGUGGAAAGCCAAGGAGAGAAUAUAACUGCAGACCUUUGUAUACGACUUGUAGGUGGCGGUUUGUCUGGGAUAACUGCUGCUUCUGUUACAUACCCGUUGGAUCUUGUUAGGACACGUCUUGCAGCUCAGAGAAAUGUAAUAUAUUACAGAGGCAUUUGGCAUGCAUUACAAACCAUCAGUAGGGAAGAAGGGAUAGCCGGCCUUUAUAAAGGAAUGGGUGCUACUUUAUUGGGGGUUGGCCCGAAUUUGGCAAUCAGCUUUUCAGUUUAUGACACUGUGAGAUCUUACUGGCAGUCUCAUAGACCAGAAGACUCAACCGUCCUGGUCAGCCUUGCUUGUGGAAGCCUUUCAGGCGUUGCAUCAUCAACAGAGAAGCAGGUUGAGGUGCUGGCUUCUCACUAAGUAUCUAACUGGACUGACCCUUAGAGCCCGAGCACCUUUAUCUGGCAUAUCGGAAUUUAUUGGCUCCACUAUGGUGGAUAUUUGCACGUGAGCCAUUUGUAUUUGCAGUUAUCAAAAUGUGAGAGGCUUCCUCGUUGAGUAACGUUUCCUUUGGAUCUUGUGAGGCGACGAAUGCAAUUGGAAGGAGCAGGUGGUCGGGCCCGCAUUUAUAAGACUGGUUUGAUUGGUGCAUUCAGUCGUAUUAUCCAGACAGAGGGUCUGCGUGGUUUAUAUAGAGGAAUUUUGCCUGAAUAUUACAAGGUUGUGCCUAGUAUUGGUAUUGUCUUUAUGACAUACGAGAAAAUGAAACAGAUUCUCUCAGAUAUUGACUGAUGUGUUGGCUUGAGAUAUCGGAGAAUAAACUUACAGGUAUAAGGCGCCUCAAGAUCAUAUACCAGAAGUUUGUAAUUCUUUCGAAAUCUGUGAUUGUCGAUGUAACCCACACCAUUCAUGUAUAGAUGGUUAAAAGAAGGCACAAUUGCAGUAGUUAAAGUACAAUUCAAUUUUAUGUAUUGAUAUGAUUCUUCUUGGUGCC